AAAGUAGGACGCAAGCGUUAUCCGGAGUUACUGGGCGUAAAGGGCGUGCAGGCGGUGGGGUAAGUUAGGCGUGAAAGCUCCCGGCUAAACCGGGAGAGGGCGUCUGAUACUGCCCGACUAGAGUGUGGUAGAGGCGUGUGGAAUUCCGCGUGUAGUGGUGAAAUGCGUAGAGAUGCGGAGGAACACCAGUGGCGAAGGCGGCACGCAGGGCCAACACUGACGCUAAGACGCGAAAGCAUGGGUAGCGAACGGG
rnacentral:rRNA from 1 species